rnacentral:rRNA from 1 species
GCGAAGGUAGCGCAAUCACUUGUCUUUUAAAUGAAGACCUGUAUGAAUGGCACGACGAGGGCUUAACUGGCUCCUUUUUCCAGUCAAUGAAAUUGAUCUUCCCGUGGAGAAGCGGGAAAAAUAUCAUAAGACGAAAAGACCCUGGGGAGCUUUAAACACUAAAUCAGCCCUUGUCCAAAAUCCCAAUUAAAGGAAUGAACACUAAAGUGAGACCUGAUUUAAUGUCUUCGGUUGGGGCGACCUUGGGGAAAGAAAAAACCCCCAUGCGGAAAAAAAAUACUGUACUUCCAAAACAAAAAGAAACCACUCAAAGUAUAAAAAUUUUUGACCCAUUAUUGGAUCCGGCUUAACGCCGAUCAACGGACCAAGUUCCCCA